UACGAAGGGGGCUAGCGUUGCUCGGAAUCACUGGGCGUAAAGGGUGCGUAGGCGGGUCUUUAAGUCAGGGGUGAAAUCCUGGAGCUCAACUCCAGAACUGCCUUUGAUACUGAGGAUCUUGAGUACGGGAGAGGUGAGUGGAACUGCGAGUGUAGAGGUGAAAUUCGUAGAUAUUCGCAAGAACACCAGUGGCGAAGGCGGCUCACUGGCCCGUAACUGACGCUGAGGCACGAAAGCGUGGGGAGCAACAGG
rnacentral:rRNA from 1 species